rnacentral:tRNA from 1 species
UAAUAUGAAGUAAUAUACAAUUUAAUUUCGACUUAAAUUUUGGUUUAAAAUUAACCCAUAUUAA